rnacentral:rRNA from 1 species
AGGGUGUAAACGCUGCAGACUUGGUGUUGGAAGCCCUUUGGGGGCAUUCAGUGCCGGAGAGAAGUUGUUAAGUCUGCUACUUGGGGAGUACGUCCGCAAGGAUGAAACUUAAAGGAAUUGGCGGGGGAGGCACCGCAACGGGAGGAGCGUGCGGUUUAAUUGGAUUCAACACCGUAAACUCACCAGGGAAGACUGUUACAUGAAGGCCGAGAUGAAGACUCUGCUAGAUUUUCAGAGAGGAGGUGCAUGGCGUCAGUGACU